rnacentral:rRNA from 1 species
AUGCAGUCGACGAUGACGGUGGUGCUUGCACCGCCUGAUUAGUGGCGAACGGGUGAGUAACACGUGAGUAACCUGCCCUCCACUUCGGGAUAACCUCGGGAAAUCGUGGCUAAUACCGGAUAUGAGCACUCAUCGCAUGGUGGGUGCUGGAAAGAUUUAUCGGUGGGGGAUGGACUCGCGGCCUAUCAGUUUGUUGGUGAGGUGAUGGCUCACCAAGACGAUGACGGGUAGCCGGCCUGAGAGGGCGACCGGCCACACUGGGACUGAGACACGGCCCAGACUCCUACGGGAGGCAGCAGUGGGGAAUAUUGCACAAUGGGCGAAAGCCUGAUGCAGCGACGCCGCGUGGGGGAUGACGGCCUUCGGGUUGUAAACCCCUUUCAGUAGGGAAGAAGCGAGAGUGACGGUACCUGCAGAAGAAGCGCCGGCUAACUACGUGCCAGCAGCCGCGGUAAUACGUAGGGCGCAAGCGUUGUCCGGAAUUAUUGGGCGUAAAGAGCUUGUAGGUGGCUUGUCGCGUCUGCCGUGAAAACCCGAGGCUCAACCUCGGGCGUGCGGUGGGUACGGGCAGGCUAGAGUGUGGUAGGGGAGACUGGAACUCCUGGUGUAGCGGUGAAAUGCGCAGAUAUCAGGAAGAACACCGAUGGCGAAGGCAGGUCUCUGGGCCAUUACUGACACUGAGAAGCGAAAGCAUGGGUAGCGAACAGGAUUAGAUACCCUGGUAGUCCAUGCCGUAAACGUUGGGCACUAGGUGUGGGGGACAUUCCACGUUUUCCGCGCCGUAGCUAACGCAUUAAGUGCCCCGCCUGGGGAGUACGGCCGCAAGGCUAAAACUCA